AUCCAACUGACGAGUCCCAAAUAGGACGAAACGUGCGUCCUGGAU
rfam:Schistosoma curassoni strain Dakar, Senegal genome assembly, scaffold: SCTD_scaffold0000039